CACGAUUACGAACGAUCACAAUCACGAUUCAUCUCUCUCUCUCUCUCUCUCUGAUCUCUCUGCAACGAACGAACGCUCUCCAUAAUCAUCAAUCGACUCUCAAGUGUUUUUUUUUUUUUAUUAUUAUUGUUGUUACUAUUCUUUGAAUUUUGCUAUCUGGUGGUAUACUAUAUUUGUGAAUCUUUCGAAUUUCUCUAAUCUAAGAAAAUCGUUUUUGAAUUGACUCUCAAGGGUUUUCAUUUUUGUGCACCAUUAUCAAUUUGUUUAUCUCUCUGUUGGUAUUGUUAUCGUCUUUUUUGGUUUUUGGAAAAUUAACGCUAUGGAUGCAGGAUCUUUGAGUACUUCUAAUGCCAAUCACUCACGCUGUCCUCUGCAAGAACAGCAUCUCCAGAGAAAACAAUCCAGAGAAAAUUUGGAUAGAUUUAUUCCGAAUCGAUCGGCAAUGGAUUUUGAUUAUGCGCACUACAUGGUGACUGAAGGAAGGAAAGGUAAGGAAAACCCUUCUUUUAGUUCGCCUUCUAGGGAGGCUUAUCAGAAGCGUUUAGCUGAGACAUUCAACAUGAAUCGAACUCGGAUUCUUGCGUUCAAGAACAAGCCUCCUGCGCCGGUGGAGUUGAUCCCAAAGGAAUUCUUCUCCUCUGUUUCUCACGAUAAACCUGUUAAGGCCCGCCGCCAUAUCCCCCAGACCUCUGAAAAGACAUUGGAUGCUCCUGACCUUGUUGAUGAUUACUACUUAAACUUGUUGGACUGGGGCAGUAGCAACGUGCUUGCUAUAGCUCUUGGCAACACCGUGUAUUUGUGGAAUGCAACUGAUGGCUCUACUUCAGAGCUUGUUACGGUUGACGAUGAAGUUGGUCCGGUAACAAGUGUAAGUUGGGCACCUGAUGGUAGACAUAUUGCUAUUGGGUUAAACAAUUCUGAAGUACAGUUGUGGGAUUCGACCGCAAAUAGACAGUUAAGAACUCUGAAAGGUGGGCAUAGGAUGCGAGUUGGUUCACUGGCAUGGAACAAUCAUAUUCUCACCACUGGAGGAAUGGAUGGGAAGAUCCUAAACAAUGAUGUGAGAAUUAGAGAUCAUAUAGUGGAAACUUACAGAGGCCAUGAUCAAGAGGUCUGUGGUCUAAAGUGGUCAUUAUCAGGGCAACAAUUAGCGAGUGGAGGGAAUGACAAUGUCCUCCAUAUCUGGGACAGAUCAAUGGCAUCUUCGAACUCAGCAACCCAGUGGCUUCACAGACUUGAGGAUCACACUUCUGCAGUCAAGGCCCUUGCAUGGUGUCCAUUCCAAGGCAACUUGCUUGCAACUGGAGGAGGUGCUGGGGAUCGCACCAUUAAGUUUUGGAACACCCACACUGGGGCAUGUUUGAAUUCUGUUGACACCGGUUCUCAAGUUUGUGCGCUACUGUGGAAUAAAAAUGAGAGAGAGCUGCUUAGCUCUCAUGGUUUCUCCCAGAACCAGCUCACUCUUUGGAAAUACCCUUCAAUGGUGAAGAUGGGAGAGCUCACUGGCCAUACAUCAAGGGUCCUCUUUAUGGCUCAGAGUCCAGAUGGAUGCACUGUGGCUUCAGCAGCAGCAGAUGAAACAUUGAGAUUCUGGAAUGUGUUUGGGACUCCAGAAGUGGCUAAACCUGCUCCAAAAUCAUCUGUUACAGAGCCCUUUGCUCACCUCAAUCGCAUUCGAUAAACUUGUUACCUUCCAGAAUCCUUCUUGCACACCCCGAAAAUGUGAAGUAAAUCAGAAGAAGAAAGCCAUCACAGAGAAUUUCGUAUAUCACUGGAAAUAGUCGUUGAGCAUUGCCACCCUUACAUGAACUCUACAAGGAGGAGGCAGCCAAGAUUAUAAUAUUCUCUCGAAUUCAAUCAAUGGAGAAAAACACUUUCUUUCUCUUUCAGAAUUGUUUCAUACUCCACUCCAUAUACUUUAUUCACAGAAGAACAUUCAAAUGAGAGUUAGUUAAAAGAUUUGUUGCUUUGCAGCAGCAUUUUUGAACAUAUAAACCACCGUACAAUAAGAAUUUGUUACAACUCCAGCAAAUUCGACAACAAUCUCCACCUUUAAAUCAAAUUCUCCUCCUUGGCUUCGAUCGUCUUCAUCAGUCUUUCUAAAGAAGGGAAGGAAAUGGCAGAGGAGGAAAACCCAAGAGUAGUUUUGUAGAGUAACUUGAUGAUGAUGUUAAAGCAUGAGGUCAGAAUUUCUAAAUUGUGAUGUAUGGUUAAACCCUAUUAGAACAA